ACAGGAUUAGAUACCCUGGUAGUCCACGCCGUAAACGAUGUCGACUUGGAGGUUGUGCCCUUGAGGCGUGGCUUCCGGAGCUAACGCGUUAAGUCGACCGCCUGGGGAGUACGGCCGCAAGGUUAAAACUCAAAUGAAUUGACGGGGGCCCGCACAAGCGGUGGAGCAUGUGGUUUAAUUCGAUGCAACGCGAAGAACCUUACCUGGUCUUGACAUCCACAGAACUUUCCAGAGAUGGAUUGGUGCCUUCGGGAACUGUGAGACAGGUGCUGCAUGGCUGUCGUCAGCUCGUGUUGUGAAAUGUUGGGUUAAGUCCCGCAACGAGCGCAACCCUUAUCCUUUGUUGCCGGCGGUCCGGCCGGGAACUCAAAGGAGACUGCCAGUGAUAAACUGGAGGAAGGUGGGGAUGACGUCAAGUCAUCAUGGCCCUUACGACCAGGGCUACACACGUGCUACAAUGGCGCAUACAAAGAGAAGCGACCUCGCGAGAGCAAGCGGACCUCAUAAAGUGCGUCGUAGUCCGGAUUGGAGUCUGCAACUCGACUCCAUGAAGUCGGAAUCGCUAGUAAUCGUGGAUCAGAAUGCCACGGUGAAUACGUUCCCGGGCCUUGUACACACCGCCCGUCACACCAUGGGAGUGGGUUGCAAAAGAAGUAGGUAGCUUAACCUUCGGGAGGGCGCUUACCACUUUGUGAUUCAUGACUGGGGUGAAGUCGUAACAAGGUAACC
rnacentral:rRNA from 1 species